rnacentral:rRNA from 1 species
GUAGGAUAGGUGGGAGACUGUGAAGCUGCCGCGCCAGCGGUGGUGGAGUCGUCGUUGAAAUACCAUUCUGGUUUAAGCGGUCACCUUAACCUUGGCCCGUGAUCCGGGUUGGGGACAGUGCCUGGUGGGUAGUUUAACUGGGGCGGUUGCCUCCUAAAAUGUAACGGAGGCGCUCAAAGGUUCCCUCAGCCUGGUUGGUAAUCAGGUGGCGAGUGCAAGUGUACAAGGGAGCUUGACUGUGAGACCGACGGGUCGAGCAGGUGCGAAAGCAGGAACUAGUGAUCCGGCCAUGGCACGUGGGUGCGUGGUCGCUCAACGGAUAAAAGGUACCCCGGGGAUAACAGGCUGAUCUUGCCCAAGAGUCCAUAUCGACGGCAUGGUUUGGCACCUCGAUGUCGGCUCGUCGCAUCCUGGGGCUGGAGUUGGUCCCAAGGGUUGGGCUGUUCGCCCAUUAAAGCGGUACGCGAGCUGGGUUCAGAACGUCGUGAGACAGUUCGGUCCCUAUCCUCUGUGCGCGCAGGAAA